GCCCUUAUAGCUCAGUGGUAGAGCGCGUCACUCGUAUCACGUGAUCUGCGAAAUGACGAGGUCCAUCGUUCAAUCCGGUGUGGGGGCA